rnacentral:rRNA from 1 species
AUUGAACGCUGGCGGCAGGCUUAACACAUGCAAGUCGAGCGAGCGGCGGACGGGUGAGUAAUGUCUGGGAAACUGCCUGAUGGAGGGGGAUAACUACUGGAAAAGGUAGCUAAUAACGCAUACCAUCAGAUGUGCCCAGAUGGGAUUAGCGAGUAGGUGGGGUAAUGGCUCACCUAGGCGACGAUGCCUAGCUGGUCUGAGAGGAUGACCAGACACACUGGACCUGAGACAGGGCCCAGACUCUUAGGGGAGGCAGCAGUGGUGAAUAUUGCACAAUGGGCGCAAGCCUGAUGCAGCCAAGCCGCGUGUGUGAAGAAGGCCUUAGGGUUGUAAAGCAAUGUCAGCGAGGAGGCGUUACUUGAAGAAGAGGCACCGGCUAACUCCGUGCCAGCAGCCGCGGUAAUAC